CACUGGGAGGGGAGCAGUUGUAGUUGUGACUUCUCUCGGGCCUGCCAUGCUCUGCCAUGGAGGUGGAGUGGCAUGAAGUUUAGCUGCUUCACCUCAAUCUGCUCAAGAGUGGGGACUGCUGAGAGCAGUGGAUGGGGGACAGUGGAAUUGCAGCCUGGGAUGUGAAACGGGGAUCCUGUUACCUGCAGCUGCAGUCUUCACGUGUCCUCAUCUUUUGUGACUGCCCUAGGGCCCUGAGCUGAGCAAGACAGACAAACAGGAGGAAGUAUUAAUCUUUCUGCUUCUACCUCAUCCACUAGGAAGUUUGGAGGACCAAUCCAGUUAUACCCACUGCCUUGGAACCUGACAGAUCCAGGGCACAGAGAGACACAUGUGCAUGCUCCAGCUCCCAGUAUUCAUACAGAUAUGGUGAAGGGUGGGUGGAGUUAUAUUCUUACAGUUUGGUAUGAAUCAUGUGAGGGGUUGGGAGGUAGAGGAUGAAAUUCUCAGACCUUCUGAACAGUCCAAGGUCAGUUCUCAGAAAUCAGAUGUUGGUUGUUUAGCCAUCACACCCUUGGAUUUAUGAGUUGGACCUAGAGGAUUUGAUCGUUUCUGUGACAGAGGUAUCAUCCUGUUCCCGGAAAACUGGCGACACGUUGACAUGCAGGAACCUGGUCAGAUUUAUGGCUUGUUUCUAACCAACGUUUAGGCAUUCCGCCCUUUAAAAACAAAUUUCACUGAUUUUUUCAUGUAUCUAACAAGGGCCAGGUGCUGAAUUCUCAAAGAUAAAUAAAA